AUGUAUACAAUUGUUAUUAAGCUUGUAGUGGUAGAAAUGUGUUGCUGUUUAUAGUGCCUUGCAUCCAUGAUUGAUACCGAUAUUGUGCUAUUUAUGCCAUACACAACGUGUAGUCUUUCAACAUUCUCCAUGCUGGAACUGAAAGUACAACAGGGCCUGUAAGUCUCACGAGGCGCUACUACCAGUACUAAGCUGGUUCUUGGCUCCGUUUGAGCGCACCAACUUGUGAUAUUUGAGAUGGGGCCCAGCUAACUUCAGGUACCAGAUUUCCAGUGACAGGCAUAUAUUCAAGAACCAGUUCAGGAUCCAAAUUGUGUGACCGCUAAAUAUGACUUCACUAGACCGGAGCAGGUGCAACCAUGCUUGGCUGUCACAGCUGUUGACAGUCAUCAUAGCUGACUAAGUUGGGAAUGGUUAGAUUGGAAAUUUGUUAUUCCUGCAAGGAUUAUCGGUUCGUUACUGUCAACUGACAACCAUGAGACCGUUCGAAAAGGUAUAAAAUGUUUGUCAUUGGAAGUACUAAGGUAUUGCGAAGUGCCGUGACAUACUGUGACAGUAUGUGAUCUGGCAUUUCUAUGUCUAGACAGGCAGUGGGGAGCUAUGUCACCCAGAAGGGUUUGAUUCCUUAUAUGUGUACUACAUGCUCAGCCCAUGUUUGGUGUCUUCUGCUAUUAUACUGCUUAUAUUGCUUAUAUUGAUUAAGUGGUAUAAAACCAUACUCAGUCACUCAAAAUCUAGAUGCUGAUGUAUAUCUGUACUUGAAACUAGAUGAGAAUUGCCAUUUAAAUUGUGUCGCAUUAUAUUGCAUUACUCAAGGUAGAUGUGCCUAUUGUUUUAUGGUUACAUGGUUUUAUUCAGCUCUGUUGGAUUAGUGUCUUAGGGCUGCCGUGCUCCAUUUACAGAUGUGAUCCGAACAAGUUUAUGUGUAGAAAAGACUGAUGCACCAUUAAGUUUAUGAAAAUGAAAGAGAUCUGGGUCUAGAUUUUUUAAGCUCUCUUAGAGCUAAGAUAGUCGUAAGUUAAUGUUAAUGUAUGGCACUUACGACUAUCUUAGAGCUAAGAGAGCUUCGAAAAUCUAGGCCCUGAAGAAUAACUUCCACAUGUGUAACAUAGUGUUUUUCAACUCAUCACUUUAAUCCCUUAAAUCAAAAAACAUAUCAAUUUGUUGUUGCUCAAGGUUAGACCUCACUGACAGAAUCCAGGAAAUACAACUAUGAUUCUUGAAACAACUUCUUCAAUAAUGUAUAGAGGACUUGUAAUUCACAGUGACAUAACCCUUACAAUAAUACAUGUCUUCUGUAAGCUGAGACCAUGGUAUCAUUAGGACCAUAUGAGAUACACGGGUUAUAAAUCACUGUGAGAUAACCCUUACAAUAAUACAUGUCUUCUGUAAGCUGAGACCAUGGUAUCAUUAGGACCAUAUGAGAUACACAGGUUAUAAAUCACUGUGAGAUAGUCAGGACACCAGAGUGGAAAGACAAGUGCGUCCUGUCCCACCGAUGGCUCCUGUCACAGAUACUUAUGAAGGCAAGUCAAUUGUUCACCUGAAAAAACAACAACAGGAGCAUAUGGUAAAGUCAAGAUAGGGAAUUGCAGAUGAUGAUCUCUUGUAUAGAUUUCUAGCAGAUAGUUGCUGCAACUUGAUGAAAGUACAAGUGUUCCUUUAUUUAUUUCCUUUAUUUAUUUCCAGAAUUUCACUCACAGUGCAAUACAUGCCUUGUGAAGAAACCUGGAAAAGAAUAAAUGAGCACUUGUAUUUUCAUGUGUUCCCUUAUCCGUUUCUAUGUGUGUAUCAAGAAAUAUACCUGUACUUUUGUUAUAUAAUUUGGUCAUCUCUGUCUCCUUGUAGUUGGUAUUAAAACUACACAGAGGUCAUAAACAUUUUUUCUUGCAACAGUUUUUGGCAAGUAAAAUUGUGGCACUAUAAACUGUAGCUGACACAUGGCCUCCAUAUUGAAGAUCUACUGUAGCUUCUCCUCUGCUUGUGUUUCAAGUAGAAGGGAAAUAUUUUGAAUAAUGGAAUUUUUGAAUACACAAUGUAGACAUUAUUAAUAAAAUACAUGAAAAUAAUAUUGAAGGUGAGCUAGGGAGUCUACUUUUAGUAGAGCUUUCAACUUUGCACAUAAUGUACGCCCAAUCAUCAACGCAAUCUAUAGUUAUUGCUUCAUUAGUAUUUAUUAUUGCACUUUUGUGAAAUAUCCUUUGUUUACUAUUUUAUACAUCAUGUUUUUUCCUUAUCUCAUACUGAUGAUAGUAUGACUGAUAUUGUCCGAAAGCAUCAUUUACGAUGUUUUUCUCAAACUACUGGUAUUCUUAGUUUAGUUUUAGUUAUCAUAUCAAUGCAAUAUGUAUUGUGUUUAUUAACAUUUUGAAGCAAAACGUGUUUUGAAAUAGGAAGAAGAUUCUUUUCUAGAAUGAUUUUCAAGAGAUUCUUUUUGCUUGUAAAAUAUUCUACAUAGCACACAUAUGCUUAUACAUAGUUACUAUUUGUUACACGAGAAAUAUGAAAUACCAUCGAUAUCUGUUGGAAAAUAAAGAUGUAAAAUACAAA